rnacentral:rRNA from 1 species
CAGGACGAACGCUGGCGGCGUGCCUAACACAUGCAAGUCGAACGGGGAUUUGUUUCGGCAGAAUCCUAGUGGCGAACGGGUGAGUAACGCGUAGGCAACCUGCCCUCCGGCCGGGGACAACACUCCGAAAGGGGUGCUAAUACCGGAUACGAAGUCUGUGCCGCAUGGUACGGAUUUGAAAGAUGGCCUCUGUUUACAAGCUAUCGCCGGGGGAUGGGCCUGCGUCCGAUUAGCUGGUUGGUGGGGUAACGGCCUACCAAGGCGACGAUCGGUAGCCGGUCUGAGAGGAUGAACGGCCACAUUGGGACUGAGACACGGCCCAGACUCCUACGGGAGGCAGCAGUGGGGAAUCUUCCGCAAUGGGCGCAAGCCUGACGGAGCAACGCCGCGUGAGUGAGGAAGUUCUUCGGAACGUAAAGCUCUGUUGUUCCUGACGAACCUCCCUUCUAUCAACAACGGAGGGGACUGACGGUAGGGAACGAGGAAGCCACGGCUAACUACGUGCCAGCCGCUGC